UGGGGAAUCUUGGACAAUGGGGGCAACCCUGAUCCAGCCAUGCCGCGUGAGUGAUGAAGGCCUUAGGGUCGUAAAGCUCUUUCGCCUGUGAAGAUAAUGACGGUAGCAGGUAAAGAAACCCCGGCUAACUCCGUGCCAGCAGCCGCGGUAAUACGGAGGGGGUUAGCGUUGUUCGGAAUUACUGGGCGUAAAGCGCACGUAGGCGGACCAGAAAGUUGGGGGUGAAAUCCCGGGGGCUCAACCCCGGAACUGCCUCCAAAACUAUUGGUCUAGAGUUCGAGAGAGGUGAGUGGAAUUCCAAGUGUAGAGGUGAAAUUCGUAGAUAUUUGGAGGAACACCAGUGGCGAAGGCGGCUCACUGGCUCGAUACUGACGCUGAGGUGCGAAAGUGUGGGGAGCAAACAGGAUUAGAUACCCUGGUAGUCCACGCCGUAAAACGAUGAAUGUUAGCCGUCGGGCAGUAUACUGUUCGGUGGCGCAGCUAACGCAUU
rnacentral:rRNA from 1 species